AUGUCCGUGGAGGCCCAGGAGUACAGGAAGGUGCUGGACGAGAUCAACCCGCAUGUGGGCAUGGCCAGCCUGUACUCGGAUCACCUGCCAGUAAUGCGGUGGCUCGACGUGUUCGGCAACAAGAACAAGGUCGUCGCUGCUCUGAGUAAAAGGGACGCGUUCCUGCAGCAGCUCAUCGACGCGGAGCGGCGGAAGCUGGACGACGGCGGCAUCGGCCCUUCUAGUGAAGUCGAGGGAAAAAGCAUGAUCUCCGUCAUGUUCACUCUGCAGAAGGAAGAGCCACAAGUCUAUACCGAUACAAUGAUCAGCGGCGUGUGCGCGAGUUUAUUUAGUGCGGGAACGGAGCUCACCUUAGCUGUGAUAGAAUGGGCUAUGUCGCUCCUACUAAAUCACCCGGCAGACCUGAAGAAGGCGCAGGACGAGAUCGACAGGUCUAUGGGGUUCUCCCGUCUGGUUGCUGCUGAGGACCUGCCCCACCUCAGCUACCUCAAGUGUAUCAUUAGUGAGACUCUUCGCCUUUACCCCGUCGCCCCACUACUGUUGCCGCAUCAGUCGUCAACGAACUGUAAGAUCGGUGGCUAUGAAAUUCCCAGUGGGACCAUGAUGCUCGUUAAUGUGUAUGCCAUCCAUAGAGACCCGGCCAUGUGGGAGCACCCGAUCAAGUUCAGGUCGGAGAGGUUUGAGGAUGGCAAGGCUGAAGGGUUAUUCAUGAUACCCUUCGGAAUGGGGAGGCGAAAGUGUCCCGGCAAGGCAAUGGUUUUACGGACGAUAGGGUUGGUUCUUGGGGCACUUCUACAAUGCUUCGACUGGGACCAGGUGGGCGCUGUGGAGGUAGACAUGACAGAAGGAGCAGAAGAAUUUGUUAUGCCCAAGGCCGUUCCAUUUGAGUCUUUGUGCAAGCCGCGCAUAGCUAUGUCCGAUGUGCUUAAGAUGCUCUAA
rnacentral:rRNA from 1 species